AACAGGGGCAUCUUACCCACACUUCAUUUCUCACUGUUUUACUCAUCAUUAAUUUGCUAAAGUAUUAAUUAUACAUACAGAUAAUAAUUAAUUUGUAAGCAUGAAUAAUAGUAAUAAUAAUAAGGUUAUUAUAGUUGUGACCUUGUUAUGCCUCAUCGGAACAACCAAGGUGGCUAAUGCCGAUCAUCAACGGUCGGAUCAAGGAGGUUUCCCAAUCCCACGUCUGCCCUUUCCGGUGGAUCGACCCCAACCUAAGAAAACACCAUCACCACCACCAUUAUCCUUACCUGCUACACCUCCAAAGCCCUCCAUAUUACCUCCAUUAUUAUCUCCAAUACCCUCAAUAAUAUUACCUCCAGCUUCAUCACCAGCAAUAUCAUCAUCAUCAACCCCAGCUUCGUCACCAAUAAUAUCCUCAACCCCAACUAUAUCACCAACAUCAUCUCUCCCUAGGCCUCUAAAAUAUCAGCCUUAAUCAUCCAAUGGAAUCAUAAUAUAUUUAUAUAUAUAUGAUCGAGAUAUAUAUAACUAAUAAUAUGUGUUAUAUUCAGAAAAAUAAUAGUACGUUGCCGCAUGACAUUUUGUGUACGUACGUAUACCUUCUGGCCAUGCAUGCAUGCAGUGCAGGGAAACGGAAACGUAAUGCGAAUGGAAUGAUCAUUUAAAUGCUUGGCAAAUGUACUACCAUCAUUAUAUUAUAUAUAAUUAAUUGAAGCCAUAUAUACAGAGAUAUCUAUAAUAUAGAUAUAUACACAAAUGUUUGUUAUAAGUUACUCAAAUGGAGAAUCAAUAUACUUAUACGAAGUUAUUUUAUAA